UACAGGGGGGGCAAGCGUUGUUCGGAAUUACUGGGCGUAAAGGGCUCGUAGGUGGCCAACUAAGUCAGACGUGAAAUCCCUCGGCUUAACCGGGGAACUGCGUCUGAUACUGGAUGGCUGGAGAUUGGGAGAGGGAUGCGGAAUUCCAGGUGUAGCGGUGAAAUGCGUAGAUAUCUGGAGGAACACCGGUGGCGAAGGCGGCAUCCUGGACCAACACUGACGCUGAGGAGCGAAAGCCAGGGGAGCAAACGGG
rnacentral:rRNA from 1 species